rnacentral:rRNA from 1 species
AGAGUUUGAUCCUGGCUCAGGAUGAACGCCGGCGGCGUGCCUAAUACAUGCAAGUCGAGCGGUAAGGCCACUUCGGUGGUACACGAGCGGCGGACGGCUGAGUAACACGUAGGAACGUACCCCAAACUGAGGGAUAAGCACCAGAAAUGGUGUCUAAUACCGCAUGUGAUCUUCGGAUUAAAGCUUCGGCGGUUUGGGAACGGCCUGCGCAUGAUUAGCUUGUUGGUGAGGUAAUGGCUCACCAAGGCGACGAUCAUUAGCUGGUCUGAGAGGAUGAUCAGCCAGACUGGGACUGAGACACGGCCCAGACUCCUACGGGAGGCAGCAGUAGGGAAUUUUCCACAAUGGACGAAAGUCUGAUGGAGCAACGCCGCG